UCGGGAAUUUUGGGCAAUGGGCGAAAGCCUGACCCAGCAACGCCGCGUGAAGGAUGAAGUAUUUCGGUAUGUAAACUUCGAAAGAAUAGGAAGAAUAAAUGACGGUACUAUUUAUAAGGUCCGGCUAACUACGUGCCAGCAGCCGCGGUAAUACGUAGGGACCAAGCGUUGUUCGGAUUUACUGGGCGUAAAGGGCGCGUAGGCGGUGUGUCAAGUCAGUUGUGAAAUCCCCGGGCUCAACCUGGGAAUUGCAUUUGAGACUGCACGGCUAGAGUGUGUCAGAGGGGGGUAGAAUUCCACGUGUAGCAGUGAAAUGCGUAGAUAUGUGGAGGAAUACCGAUGGCGAAGGCAGCCCCCUGGGAUAACACUGACGCUCAUGCACGAAAGCGUGGGGAGCAAACAGGAUUAGAUACCCCCGUAGUCCCUGAGCGGGCUGGCAAGGCGCAU
rnacentral:rRNA from 1 species